rnacentral:misc_RNA from 1 species
AAAAGCCCUCAGAUCUCAUAGCUUUGAACAAAUCAUCCACGGAUUUAACACAAAUGGCGUCCAUCAAAAGCCUUCACACGCCACCACAACACUUGUGUGUGAGUGUGUGUGUAUGUAUAUGAAUAAAGAGACGGCGGAGGAGAUGGUAGUGGUAGCGAAAGUGGUGGUAAGUGAGACUACAGUGAACUAAAACUACCAUUUGCAACCGCUCAAUACGUUUAUGAUGUGCAUCAUUGGGCAAAACCCAGAACAAAAAAAAUAGGAAAAUCAAGAACAGAAAAACGGAGGCUCAGAUCCACAAUAAGCGAACAAGAAAAUGAUCGGCGACCGACACAAAUCGGCUUCGCCGGAGAGAUAGAGCAGGCCAUUGUUGUGUGGAAGUCUAGGGUUAGUGGGAGCAGUAUACUGAAGCGGCCGAAA